CCUUUUUAUUAUUUUAUUUGGCUGAUCAUGUGGCACAUCUGUCAGGUGCACUGCUAGCCUGUUAGCUAGAUGAACGCUGGAUGCAGAUUGUGCUUCAUCAUUAAAACAAGAAAAAAAUGCCAAACACGCCUCGAGGGAUUUUUU